rnacentral:tRNA from 1 species
GGUGGUAUAGCUCAGUGGCAGGGCAUAUGCUUAGCAUGUAUGAGGCCCUGGGUUUAAACCCCUAGCACCA